rnacentral:lncRNA from 1 species
ACAUAUUAACCACCACCAUCUAGACAAUUUGAUUACUUCAACAAUACACCGCCUACUUAACACCCUUUUUUUUGCUUUCUCCUCAUUAUCCAGAUCUCGUUUCCCUUUUCGAAGAGUUAUGUUGAGAGAAAUCUCCAAUUGGUCAUUUUCAUUGGCUACAUUAACGCAUUUUUUGGAACACACUUGACAGGUCCAUAGUUGGAUCGUUAAACUUAUAUGAUCCUGAAGAAGAGCCAUUUGAUUUACUUUCGUAAUGCACUACCUCAUUGUCAUACAGCAAAACAUCAGACCACUUGAAAUGCCUACCGUCAGGAGUACAGCAAUGGAACAGUCGCCCUUUGUUUUCACGAUUUUUUCCCACCUCCAUCCACUUCACAAACCUCUCGCCACAUUUCAGGCAUCUUCUCUUUCUCGAACAUUCUGACAACGAAUGACCCGGCUUUCUGCAACUAUGGCAUAUACCUCUGUUCCUUUCUGCCAUGGAGCAAACUCUAGCUCACGGUGCAAUUCAAGAAGCUCAAAGUCAGAAUUCGAUCUCCAUAGAAUAGAGUGCAAGUGCAAUUGAACACUACAAAAAAAAGUCUUGACCAUACUUUGGAAUAUAAAAUAGUUGAACACUAAAUUAUUUUCAAUUGAACACGACAUUAUUUUCUUGACCAUACUUUGGAAUAUAAAACAGUUGAACAAAACAUUAUUUUCAAUUGAACACGACAUUAUUUUCAAUUGAACAAGACAUUAUUUUCAAGAUCUCGAGUUGUAAAAAAGAAUCAUUCAAUGAGCCGGCACUUCCCUACACAAAAUAUUUUCACUCAAGUUAGUUGUCUUCUGAUUCUACGUGCGUUGAAAAAAAAUACAUACAUAAUAUAUAUCAACAAUUGAAUAACCCAUAACUAAGAAGACAUUACAAAAAUUGGUAGACAAAAUGAAAAUGAUUUCAAGAAAAAUUCAUGAGAGACACCGUAGCACUUGUUCUUGAUUAAGGCAAAAAAUGCAUACACAAUAUAUAUCAACACUACGACAUACAGUAGCUUAUAGAUGUUUGGAAAUUCCACAUACCGUACAAUUGAUUUAGAGAAUUUCAGACGCCGACGAUUUUAAAAAGUUGAGGCUGUAGCACCAACAGUUAGUAGAGACGGCAGCACCGGCAAGAUUUGGAAAUUUUCAGAUUCAAAAGCUUUAUGUUCAG